GAUUAAGUUAUUAAGGGCGCACGGUGGAUGCCUUGGCACUAGAAGCCGAUGAAGGACGUUACUAACGACGAUAUGCUUUGGGGAGCUGUAAGUAAGCUUUGAUCCAGAGAUUUCCGAAUGGGGAAACCCAGCAUGAGUUAUGUCAUGUUAUCGAUAUGUGAAUACAUAGCAUAUCAGAAGGCACACCCGGAGAACUGAAACAUCUUAGUACCUGGAGGAAGAGAAAGAAAAUUCGAUUCCCUUAGUAGCGGCGAGCGAAACGGGAAGAGCCCAAACCAACAAGCUUGCUUGUUGGGGUUGUAGGACACUCUAUACGGAGUUACAAAGGACGACAUUAGACGAAUCAUCUGGAAAGAUGAAUCAAAGAAGGUAAUAAUCCUGUAGUCGAAAAUGUUGUCUCUCUUGAGUGGAUCCUGAGUACGACGGAGCACGUGAAAUUCCGUCGGAAUCUGGGAGGACCAUCUCCUAAGGCUAAAUACUCUCUAGUGACCGAUAGUGAACCAGUACCGUGAGGGAAAGGUGAAAAGCACCCCGGAAGGGGAGUGAAAUAGAACCUGAAACCGUGUGCUUACAAGUAGUCAGAGCCCGUUAAUGGGUGAUGGCGUGCCUUUUGUAGAAUGAACCGGCGAGUUACGAUUUGAUGCAAGGUUAAGCAGUAAAUGUGGAGCCGUAGCGAAAGCGAGUCUGAAUAGGGCGUUUAGUAUUUGGUCGUAGACCCGAAACCAGGUGAUCUACCCUUGGUCAGGUUGAAGUUCAGGUAACACUGAAUGGAGGACCGAACCGACUUACGUUGAAAAGUGAGCGGAUGAACUGAGGGUAGCGGAGAAAUUCCAAUCGAACCUGGAGAUAGCUGGUUCUCUCCGAAAUAGCUUUAGGGCUAGCCUCAAGUGAUGAUUAUUGGAGGUAGAGCACUGUUUGGACGAGGGGCCCCUCUCGGGUUACCGAAUUCAGACAAACUCCGAAUGCCAAUUAAUUUAACUUGGGAGUCAGAACAUGGGUGAUAAGGUCCGUGUUCGAAAGGGAAACAGCCCAGACCACCAGCUAAGGUCCCAAAAUAUAUGUUAAGUGGAAAAGGAUGUGGCGUUGCCCAGACAACUAGGAUGUUGGCUUAGAAGCAGCCAUCAUUUAAAGAGUGCGUAAUAGCUCACUAGUCGAGUGACACUGCGCCGAAAAUGUACCGGGGCUAAACAUAUUACCGAAGCUGUGGAUUGUCCUUUGGACAAUGGUAGGAGAGCGUUCUAAGGGCGUUGAAGCAUGAUCGUAAGGACAUGUGGAGCGCUUAGAAGUGAGAAUGCCGGUGUGAGUAGCGAAAGACGGGUGAGAAUCCCGUCCACCGAUUGACUAAGGUUUCCAGAGGAAGGCUCGUCCGCUCUGGGUUAGUCGGGUCCUAAGCUGAGGCCGACAGGCGUAGGCGAUGGAUAACAGGUUGAUAUUCCUGUACCACCUAUAAUCGUUUUAAUCGAUGGGGGGACGCAGUAGGAUAGGCGAAGCGUGCGAUUGGAUUGCACGUCUAAGCAGUAAGGCUGAGUAUUAGGCAAAUCCGGUACUCGUUAAGGCUGAGCUGUGAUGGGGAGAAGACAUUGUGUCUUCGAGUCGUUGAUUUCACACUGCCGAGAAAAGCCUCUAGAUAGAAAAUAGGUGCCCGUACCGCAAACCGACACAGGUAGUCAAGAUGAGAAUUCUAAGGUGAGCGAGCGAACUCUCGUUAAGGAACUCGGCAAAAUGACCCCGUAACUUCGGGAGAAGGGGUGCUCUUUAGGGUUAACGCCCAGAAGAGCCGCAGUGAAUAGGCCCAAGCGACUGUUUAUCAAAAACACAGGUCUCUGCUAAACCGUAAGGUGAUGUAUAGGGGCUGACGCCUGCCCGGUGCUGGAAGGUUAAGAGGAGUGGUUAGCUUCUGCGAAGCUACGAAUCGAAGCCCCAGUAAACGGCGGCCGUAACUAUAACGGUCCUAAGGUAGCGAAAUUCCUUGUCGGGUAAGUUCCGACCCGCACGAAAGGCGUAACGAUUUGGGCACUGUCUCAACGAGAGACUCGGUGAAAUCAUAGUACCUGUGAAGAUGCAGGUUACCCGCGACAGGACGGAAAGACCCCGUGGAGCUUUACUGUAGCCUGAUAUUGAAAUUCGGCACAGCUUGUACAGGAUAGGUAGGAGCCUUUGAAACGUGAGCGCUAGCUUACGUGGAGGCGCUGGUGGGAUACUACCCUAGCUGUGUUGGCUUUCUAACCCGCACCACUUAUCGUGGUGGGAGACAGUGUCAGGCGGGCAGUUUGACUGGGGCGGUCGCCUCCUAAAAGGUAACGGAGGCGCUCAAAGGUUCCCUCAGAAUGGUUGGAAAUCAUUCAUAGAGUGUAAAGGCAUAAGGGAGCUUGACUGCGAGACCUACAAGUCGAGCAGGGUCGAAAGACGGACUUAGUGAUCCGGUGGUUCCGCAUGGAAGGGCCAUCGCUCAACGGAUAAAAGCUACCCCGGGGAUAACAGGCUUAUCUCCCCCAAGAGUUCACAUCGACGGGGAGGUUUGGCACCUCGAUGUCGGCUCAUCGCAUCCUGGGGCUGUAGUCGGUCCCAAGGGUUGGGCUGUUCGCCCAUUAAAGCGGUACGCGAGCUGGGUUCAGAACGUCGUGAGACAGUUCGGUCCCUAUCCGUCGUGGGCGUAGGAAAUUUGAGAGGAGCUGUCCUUAGUACGAGAGGACCGGGAUGGACAUACCUCUGGUGUACCAGUUGUCGUGCCAACGGCAUAGCUGGGUAGCUAUGUGUGGACGGGAUAAGUGCUGAAAGCAUCUAAGCAUGAAGCCCUCCUCAAGAUGAGAUUUCCCAACUUCGGUUAUAAGAUCCCUCAAAGAUGAUGAGGUUAAUAGGUUCGAGGUGGAAGCAUGGUGACAUGUGGAGCUGACGAAUACUAAUCGAUCGAAGACUUAAUCAA
rnacentral:rRNA from 1 species